UACGUAGGGGGCAAGCGUUGUCCGGAAUCAUUGGGCGUAAAGAGCUCGUAGGCGGCUGCUCAAGUCGAAUGUGAAAACUCGAGGCUCAACCUCGAGCCUGCAUUCGAUACUGGGCGGCUAGAGUCUGGUAGGGGGAUCUGGAAUUCCUGGUGUAGCGGUGGAAUGCGCAGAUAUCAGGAGGAACACCGGUGGCGAAGGCGGGAUCCUGGGCCAGUACUGACGCUGAGGAGCGAAAGCGUGGGGAGCGAACGAGGA
rnacentral:rRNA from 1 species